rnacentral:rRNA from 1 species
AAUGAACGCUGGCGGCAUGCCUAACACAUGCAAGUCGAGCGAACGGACGGGAAGAGUUCUUUUCUGAUGUUGGCGGCGGACGGGUGAGUAACACGUGGAUCGCAUACCUCUAAGACUGGGGUGAUUUCGGGAAGACAGCUCUGCUAACGGAUCAUAUGUUGAACCGCAUGGUUCACAAGUGAUAGACGGUCUUGCUGUCACUUAGAGCUGACUCCGCGCUGCAUUAGCUAGUUGGUAAGGUAACGGCUUACCAAGGCAACGAUGCAUAGCCGACCUGAGAGGGUGAUCGGCCACACUGGAACUGAGACACGGUCCAGACUCCUACGGGAGGCAGCAGUAGGGAAUCUUCCGCAAUGGGCGAAAGCCUGAUGGAGCAACGCCGCGUGAGUGAUGAAGGUCUUCGGAUCGUAAAGCUCUGUUAUUAGGAAAGAAAAUAAGUGGAAGUAACUGUGCACAUCUUGACGGUACCUAAAGAGUAAGCCACGGCUAACUACGUG